rnacentral:rRNA from 1 species
UACGGGGGGGGGCAAGCGUUGUUCGGAAUUACUGGGCGUAAAGGGCUCGUAGGCGGCCAACUAAGUCAGACGUGAAAUCCCUCGGCUUAACCGGGGAACUGCGUCUGAUACUGGAUGGCUUGAGUUUGGGAGAGGGAUGCGGAGUUCCAGGUGUAGCGGUGAAAUGCGUAGAUAUCUGGAGGAACACCGGUGGCGAAGGCGGCAUCCUGGACCAACACUGACGCUGAGGAGCGAAAGCCAGGGGAGCAAAGCGGG